rnacentral:misc_RNA from 1 species
CAUUUGCGAGCAAUAAUAGUCCACUUCCUUGUAUUUGCAUCUGAGAACCAGACACUACACUAACUCACUUCAGCAGGUCAUAAGCAGAAUUUGCAGAGAUGGCAUCCGUGACCAUGACAGCCUCAUUCCUAGCUGGUUCGACCAUGGCCAAACAACCCUUGACAACCCCACGCAGAGGGCUGAUCGUGGCUAAGGCCUCAAGAGCCACAGAGGAAGAAAGGGUCAGUGUGGAGAUGAAGAACAAGGAAGAAAGAAGCAGUGGGAGGAGGGAUUUGGUGUUUGCAGCCGCAGUUGCUGCUGCAUUCUCCAUUGCCAAAGUUGCCAUGGCUGACUAUGAGCCUAAGCCGGGUACCCCAGAAGCUAAGAAGAAGUAUGCUCCUAUCUGUGUCACAAUGCCUACUGCUCGUAUCUGCCGCAAGUGAAAGAAUCCUAUCUACUUUAUAAAUUAAUGUUGAUCUUUAGAUUAAUGUAAAAGCUGUAUCCACUUGUAUCUUUUCAUUGGACAAUCCUCUUUGUUAUAUUCUUCUCCUCCUAGUUUUCUUUUCUCUCUCUUUUUAAACAGCUUUACAAAAUUCAUCUUCCCCUUCAGAUGUCUUCUAAUUUAAGGAGUUCAUAUCGGAAACGUUGACAUGUCUUAAACCCCAAUUUUGACUUAAUACCAUCGGAGUUGUCCCUAACUCUCUGGUAGGAAUAACAUUUUGAAUUGGAGACCCAAUUCGAAUUAGCCGAAAAAGAGAUCAACAAGCAGGAAACUUCCGCCAAGCAUUAAGGAUGGUCGCUGGCUUCCACUAACUAUGAGUCCAAUGUUGACCUUUUGUAGUUUAUCAGCUCGACUCAUUCUUGUCUAAUAAUUAAUGUUUAUAGAUGCUAAACUACCUGUCUGCUUCCAAAAUAUGCUGCUCUGACCAACGAUUAUAGAAUUGUCACUCAAGAUUAACAACUAAAUGCCAUUAAAGUUUAUACCUCAAAAUAGAAAAUGCCAGCUUAGUAGUUCAGUAGUUAGAAGAAUUUAAUUCUUGAAAUUAUUUCAUAUAAAAUGAGAAGUUACAUAGAUUUACAUAAACCCAAAAUGGUAACAAUAUGAGAUAAACCAGAUUAAUAAUUCUCAGAGCAAAGAAACCACUCCUGACAUGAAAUGUGUUCCUAAUGCACUGACAGAUUUGUCCUCUGAUCGCACAAUAUUUUAGUAUGAAGCAGCUGAAUACAAGACUUCGAAAUACUAUCCCCACCAGAAAGCACACAAGGAAAUAAUAAUAAUAAUAAAAAUAAAAGAAAAGCAACUUCCAACAUUUUGAUCUGAGUCAAACUGAUUAUUCAUCUGCAAAAACUCUGGGAUUGCACCAAGGUUGCCAUCAAUAAGUGUGCGCAAGAAGACUCCCAGUAAGUUUCUGCGUCCGGUUAUCUAGAACUGCUAAUUGUUGCAAGUCUUUGAGAGUAAACUCAGCCUUUUUUGCUCAGCAGCAACAUUUUUUGUACCGCACAUGAGCACCUCAUUCCCCUUUCCCGUUUUGCUGGGCAGUAGCAUAAUUGCGAAUAAUUUCCAUGGCUAACUGGUGAGCAGUCUUAUUCUGCAGUUUUGCAAGUUCAUCAAUUUUAUCAUAUGUGUCCUUAUCAGAGAAGAGCCUCAGGUUGUACUUGGGGGGUGUAGACACAACGCCUUCCCAUUUGUCAACCCACUCCUGAAGUUUCUCAAAUCCCAUGCGGAUUGUGAAGUCGCCAAAUGAUUCUUUUGAUUGCCUUUUUCGUUUCCAAUAAUAAAACAGAGGUUCCAGAACUUUUUCAAGUUCUUGAAUCUUAACCUUAUUCAUGAAGCUUCUUGCCAAUGCAGUUUGACUGGGUGUUCCCCCAAGCCAAAUCUGUUUCAAAAGAAAAGGAGCAUCAAACUUUUUUCAACAACUCUCAUUUAUAUUCAAGAGAGAGGGGAAAGGAGGGAAGAAUCACUCAAAUUUUUUUCAACAACUUUUUUCACCUGAUAACUAUUGGGACCAUCACCAACAAAUCCAAGUUCAGCCAUGUAUGGUCGAGAACAACCAUUGGGACAACCCGUAAUCCUUAUUACCACAGAUUCAUUGUACGUGAGGCCCACCUUCUCAAAUACAGCCCUAACCCGUUUGAGGAUGUCAGGUAUUCCCCGUUCAGCUUCCGUUAUUGCCAGUGGACAAAGUGGCAUUGCUGGGCAUGCCAUUGCUGUUAAAUUGAGGGGAUCUACAUACUUGGGUUGCAGCAAUCCAGCUUGUGCAAGAGUUGCAGUGAUGGGGCGCUUCCAAGCCUUGCGAAUACCACACAAGAUGAUAUUCUGGUUUGGUGUCAGUUGCACAUCUAAAUUGUACUUCUCUAUUACCUCUCUCAAUGUUUUCUUCAUUUUCCCUCCAAUACGACCAUUAUCAAUGUGGAGCCCACAAAAUAAACCACUAUUUCCCUGCUCAUGCCAUCCCAAGUAACCUUUAAAUCACCACUUUGGCAACUAAAGGAAGUGGUCAAAUUUCUUUAAAUCUCAACAACACUCCUAACUUCUUAAUCCCACCGGGAGUUGAUCUUUGAACCAGGAUUGAUCCCAUGCUUUGUAACUUCUGAAAAAAUAUUAAUGCACUCGUUUUUGGCUGCUGGGCCAAUCUGUUUCUCUUUGAGAUGCUUCUGUUUGCGGUUGCUUUAUGGGUUCUUAAUAGGGUUGGUUUUCCUUUUCUUUUUUUAUUUUUAAGUUCACCACCACCACUGCGACUAAUGAAUUUUACACCGUUGCCCUGCUUUCAAACCUACCAUCAAUUUAUCUGAACCCACAUAACUGCAACGCUCUCUUAAUUUAUGUUUCAUUCAGAGAACAAAGAGCCUCAAAGGCACUACUGUGUCUUCUCAAGUAAAAGAACUCAUGAAGAACUUAUAUCAGCUGAUUCCACUCAGAUACUCCUAAAGUGGGAAGUCCAAUUUUAAGCAACCAUUGGGAAAUAAUAAUUCUACCCAUUGAGCCAUAUAGUGCUAGCAGAAUCUGCAUUCAAAAUUGUAAAAUGUCAAUGCAUUAUGCAUAGCAUUUGAUUUUUACUUUGAUAUGUGGAAUUGACAACAGUCAUUCACAAUUCUUUAACUAUGCAUAUGUUUUAUAUUUAGACCAAAAAUUGAAAGGGUUUGAUCAGUCUGCAUGUCUUAGGCAUGUGUUCAGUCUGCAUCUUUUUUUCCUAGGAUUGGCGGUGCACAUAUUCAAACUAAAAUCAAGUUUAUCUU